AAGACCUCCAGAGAGAGGAGCCAGUCCUUCAAACAGGUGGCAGAUUUCAGCAAAGUAGAAUGGAAGGCAUCCAAGCAGAGACGAAGGAAUAGAUCCAGGUCUGACUGACGCUGCUGAUACCUUGGAGUACUGAGAGUCCAGGUGAAGGUAAGACGGUGAGAUAGAAUUGAUACAUAACCUACGGAAGUCUAAGGUGUACAGAUCGCAGCGAGGGAGCUCCAAACCUCGACCCAGAAGCAGGUCGUCGUCUGUGAAUGGUUCAGCACCAGGUUCCGCACGAACGUGCGGUGCGGGACCUUCGAGGGGGCAGCCGCCUUUCCCUGCAGCACCUCGUGUCUCGGGAGGAAGAACUUUGAGCACCGGCCUGUUCCCGCGGGCGGCAGGGUGCGCCACGCACGCCAGGCCAUGCCCAGAGGGCAUUCUCCUUUUGAUGGCCCAUUCUUCUUUUGAUGGAAUUUUGUUUUAUUGAUUUUUUUCCCCUAUGUGUUUUAUUUUAAAUGAAACUGCUAUUAGCUUCCUGUAAAAAAAAAAAAAAAAAAUCUCAAUCUGGCUAAGGAAGCACUUCCUGUGUUAAUAAUAACUACUAACAUA
ensembl:lncRNA